rfam:Drosophila persimilis strain MSH-3 cont1.002485, whole genome shotgun sequence.
UGUGGUUAGGUGGGUACCUAAAUAUCUUAAUUAUAAUUUUCCGUUAGGAACUUACAAAGGUAUUUUUGUACCGACAGGCCUUUU